rnacentral:tRNA from 1 species
GGCAAGAUGGCCGAGCGGUUAAGGCGCUAGCUUCAGGUCCUCUGAACACAAAUUCUAAGAAUUUGCUAGUGUGGAAACACGCGUGGGUUCGAGUCCCACUCUUGUCA